rnacentral:rRNA from 1 species
UACGGAGGGGGCAAGCGUUGUUCGGAAUUACUGGGCGUAAAGGGCGCGUAGGCGGCCUUCUAAGUCAGACGUGAAAUCCCCCGGCUUAACCUGGGAACUGCGUCUGAUACUGGAAGGCUUGAGUGCGGGAGAGGGAUGUGGAAUUCCAGGUGUAGCGGUGAAAUGCGUAGAUAUCUGGAGGAACACCGGUGGCGAAGGCGGCAUCCUGGACCGACACUGACGCUGAGGCGCGAAAGCUAGGGUAGCAAACGGG